rnacentral:pre_miRNA from 1 species
UAUUAAAAUUUUCAUCUAAUUAUACUAUUGAAAAUUGGCAUGGCUGGUGAAAAUAAUCAGAUAGUAAAGAUAGGUGGUGUGCCACAUGUACCUUAUGGCGAUGUACAAAGAGCAGUUUUUAACAAUAAAAAUAGAUGAGUUUUUUAAUA